AAUAGAUACCCGGGUAGUCCACGCCGUAAACGAUGUCGACUUGGAGGUUGUUCCCUUGAGGAGUGGCUUCCGGAGCUAACGCGUUAAGUCGACCGCCUGGGGAGUACGGCCGCAAGGUUAAAACUCAAAUGAAUUGACGGGGGCCCGCACAAGCGGUGGAGCAUGUGGUUUAAUUCGAUGCAACGCGAAGAACCUUACCUACUCUUGACAUCCAGAGAACUUAGCAGAGAUGCUUUGGUGCCUUCGGGAACUCUGAGACAGGUGCUGCAUGGCUGUCGUCAGCUCGUGUUGUGAAAUGUUGGGUUAAGUCCCGUAACGAGCGCAACCCUUAUCCUUUGUUGCCAGCGGUUCGGCCGGGAACUCAAAGGAGACUGCCAGUGAUAAACUGGAGGAAGGUGGGGAUGACGUCAAGUCAUCAUGGCCCUUACGAGUAGGGCUACACACGUGCUACAAUGGCGUAUACAAAGAGAAGCGACCUCGCGAGAGCAAGCGGACCUCAUAAAGUACGUCGUAGUCCGGAUUGGAGUCUGCAACUCGACUCC
rnacentral:rRNA from 1 species